UGCUUAUGCACUACGUGAUCAAGAAGUUC
rnacentral:piRNA from 1 species